AUCAGGCGGCGCUGAGGGCAGCCCGGGGGCGGGGCGAACAGGGUGGGCGGGGUCUGGUAAGGCCCCUCCGGCUGGGCUAUCCAGCAGCGCACCUGACUGCCCGGGAGGCGUGGCCAACGUGGUUGGAGGCGGGACUAGGAGGGCUUCAAGUCUGAGAGACCUAAAGGCACCUCGAUCGUCUGGGGGUGUGGCCAAACAUGUGGGAGGCGGGGCCUUGAUGCUGGACAUCAGGCUGUGCUGCGGGCAGCCGGUGAGAAGGCCGUGAAGAUGGCGGCCUCCUGGAGGCUAGGCUGUGAUCCGCGGCUACUGCGUUAUCUUGUGGGCUUCCCUGGCUGCCGAAGCAUAGGACUGGUGAAGGGGGCUCUUGGGUGGUCUGUAAGCCGCGGAGCUAAUUGGAGAUGGUUUCACAGCACGCAGUGGCUUCGGGGUGAUCCCAUUAAGAUACUAAUGCCGUCACUGUCUCCUACAAUGGAAGAGGGAAACAUUGUGAAAUGGCUGAAAAAGGAAGGUGAAGCGGUGAGUGCUGGAGAUGCAUUAUGUGAAAUUGAGACUGACAAAGCUGUGGUUACCUUAGAUGCAAGCGAUGAUGGAAUCUUGGCCAAAAUCGUGGUUGAAGAAGGAAGUAAAAAUAUACGGCUAGGUUCACUAAUUGGUUUGAUAGUAGAAGAAGGAGAAGAUUGGAAACAUGUUGAAAUUCCCAAAGAUGUAGGUCCUCCACCACCAGUUUCAAAACCUUCAGAGCCUCGCCCCUCACCAGAACCACAGAUUUCCAUCCCUGUCAAAAAGGAACACAUACCCGGGACACUACGGUUCCGUUUAAGUCCAGCUGCCCGCAAUAUUCUGGAAAAACACUCACUGGAUGCUAGCCAGGGCACAGCCACUGGCCCUCGGGGGAUAUUCACUAAAGAGGAUGCUCUCAGACUUGUCCAGUUGAAACAGACGGGCAAGAUUACCGAGUCUAGACCAACUCCAGCCCCUGCAGCCACUCCCACAGCACCUUCGCCCCUACAGACCACAGCUGGGCCAUCUUAUCCCCGGCCUAUGAUCCCACCAGUAUCAACUCCUGGACAACCCAGUGCAGUGGGCACAUUCACUGAAAUCCCUGCCAGCAAUAUUCGAAGAGUUAUUGCCAAGAGAUUAACUGAAUCUAAAAGUACUGUACCUCAUGCAUAUGCUACUGCUGACUGUGACCUUGGAGCUGUUUUAAAAGUUAGGCAAGAUCUCGUCAAAGAUGACAUUAAAGUAUCAGUAAAUGAUUUUAUCAUCAAGGCAGCAGCUGUUACCCUUAAACAAAUGCCAGAUGUUAAUGUAAGCUGGGAUGGAGAGGGCCCAAAGCAACUGCCGUUUAUUGACAUUUCAGUGGCUGUGGCAACAGAUAAAGGCUUACUUACACCAAUCAUAAAAGAUGCUGCCGCUAAGGGUAUCCAGGAAAUUGCUGACUCUGUAAAGGCUCUAUCAAAGAAAGCAAGAGAUGGAAAAUUGUUGCCUGAAGAAUACCAAGGAGGAUCUUUUAGACAUGUAUGAGAUCCCACCAGGAAGCAAGAGAAACUGCUUUUGUUCCCUGCUUCUCCCCCCACUGUCCCCAAGGAGCCAUCUGAUGUGGACUCAUUAAAAGGGAGAAUAUUUAUUAGGCUACAGUGCCAAGGCUGCCAUCUGUUAGGAUUGCUCUCAGCUUUUCCACAUGGAGAAUGGUAAACUAAAGAGCUGAGAUAAGGGUGUGAACCUAUGGGAUAGAAGCCCAGGAGGCUGUUUAACCUGUUUCUGUUCUUGGCUUAGGCAGCGGUGUGCCGGCUGAGAGUCAACUGUGGGCAUCGUGACUGAGCAAGUAAUUUUGAAACUAUUUGGUAGUCUCUGUAACACCUCCUAGCCAAUGAAGACACUAAUGAAAAUUGAGGCAUCUUAGCUUGAGUGAAAGUGUUAAAGCUUUUCUUUCAGGUGCCUGAAAAAACCAUCAUAAAACAUACAGGUGAGGGAAAAGACAGUGGGUUGUCAUGGAGCAGGAAAGCCAUGAAAUCAGAUGAAGCAAAAGUACCGUGCACUCAGAAAAUUAUGUUAUUAUUUAUUAGCCCAGAAUUCCUUGUGGAAAAAUUAAAAGGCUAAUGUCCACAGAAAAAAAUAAAAAUAAUUGUUCAGGGAUUAUUAGGAAUCCAGUUGUUUUCCCAAGCAGUUUCCAAAUCCUGCAGAUACAAACAAUAAUAGGAGAUGAUUAGGGCAUUACUUGAGCUGUUUUUUUUUUCUUUCUUUCUUUCUUUUUUUUUUUUAAGAGUAAAGACAUUUCCACCUGAAAGCUUCCGUAAGCUCUGUAAAUGCAUUAUUUCAAAGACAGAAUGUCUAACUUGAUUUCACAGACUCUUCUUGGCCAUGGCAAACAGGUUAGAAACAGGCAUGUGAUUUGUUUUACUAAUUUGCCGCUGCCUCAUAUCUGUGCUUAGACAAUUUACACCUUUGUACUUUAGUGUCUCCAACUUGGAAAUGUGUAAUCCUCUGUGCAGUAACAUUCUCAUGUAAUACAGGGAACCAGUAAAUCUUUUGACCUCUUGUACCAUGUCUCCCACUUCUUCCCCUACUCCCUGUAUUUGGCAUGUCAUAUGUGGGGUCUGCUGACUUGUGUCUCUGCCUCUGCUCUUACUAUUGUCCCAUCUCCAGCUGCCAUUUACACUUCCCUGUACCAUCUGGAUCCCUCAUUUUAUGACCCUGUGCAAAGAGAUCCUGUUCCAGGAAGGCUUCCAGGAUGAUUAGUACCCUUUCACCUUCUGCAGACCAGAAUAUGGAACAAGCACAGCAAUCUUGGAGAGCUUGGAGAAGGUCAUAGCUGAUGUUGGCAACAGAAGAUGAGGCCUGGUAUGAAAAUGAACAGCCUGUGAAAGUGUAACAGGAUAGGGAGAGGAAUCAGCUUUGAAGAUGCCUGUCACAGACACUGGAAAAUCCAACCAUCUAGGGCAUUGUAUCUGCUGACUCUGUGCUGAGAGAUAGACCUGGAACCCCAAUUCCAGGUCCCUGUGUGUUGAAAAAAGUCAACCAGCAUUCUGACCCUGCCCUGAUUACUUUGAAUUUGGUGGCCUGGAAAACCCCAUUGAUUUCACUGUCUGAUUUCUGAAGUCAGUUGAAAGAGAAACUUAACAGCAAGAACCUAAAAGAAAAUAUAAAAGUUAGCACCUUCUAAGAAUAACUUCUUGGUCUCAAAUUGGUGUCUAUACCUAGUCAGCGCCAUUAAGAGUCAUCCCCAUGGAUGGGGGAAGGUAGGUAGCAUUGUCUACCUGGGGCUUUAUAACUUUUACUCUUUAAGUUUUGCCUGCUUGCCAGAGAUGUUGCUUUGUUUAUUGCUGUUGCUUUCAAACAGAGUUGCCUUUUAUUUUCCUCUUGCCAUGGAAACUGAAAUAAAUAAAGAGAAGCAUGGUUUUUUAAUGUU